CGGAUAGACCGGGUCGCCCCUCAUAUAAGUCCGGAAAUAAGGUCCGGAUGUCUCUACCAAGCCACCGUAAACGGCUUGUCUAUGAAGGCGGGUGCUUUUGUG
rnacentral:ncRNA from 2 species